GGGUUGUGAGGUUAAGCGACUAAGCGUACACGGUGGAUGCCUAGGCAGUCAGAGGCGAUGAAGGGCGUGCUAAUCUGCGAUAAGCGUCGGUAAGGUGAUAUGAACCGUUAUAACCGGCGAUACCCGAAUGGGGAAACCCAGUGUGACUCGUCACACUAUCAUGUCAUGAAUACAUAGUGGCAUGAGGCGAACCGGGGGAACUGAAACAUCUAAGUACCCCGAGGAAAAGAAAUCAACCGAGAUUCCCCCAGUAGCGGCGAGCGAACGGGGAACAGCCCAGAGUCUGAAUCAGUUUGUGUGUCAGUGGAAGCGUCUGGAAAGUCGCGCAGUAAAGGGUGACAGCCCCGUACACAAAGACACACCUUCUGUGAACUCGAUGAGUAGGGCGGGACACGUGAUAUCCUGUCUGAAGAUGGGGGGACCAUCCUCCAAGGCUAAAUACUCCUGACUGACCGAUAGUGAACCAGUACCGUGAGGGAAAGGCGAAAAGAACCCCGGCGAGGGGAGUGAAAA
rnacentral:rRNA from 1 species